CCUAAUUUCCUAAUACACACUAGCGAACCCACAGUCUCAUUCUUCUCUAAAGUUUGAAACGGUACCCCUCUCUCUCCCCAUUCUCUGUCGACUCCGGUGAGCGGCCGCCCUGAAUCGCAGCCUCCCUCUGGCGCGAAGAGGUCGGCCCCUGUUCUUCCUCCUCCUCUCCUUCCCUUUUGUGCCCUAUUUUUUCCCCAAGAACAAAAUCCUCAAUUUCUAGGGUUUUCAGCCUCUCUUUCCUCUCUGAAUUUCGCCCCUCCGGCGAAUCCCGCCACUACCACCGCCGCCUCGCACAGCUGCUCCCUGCCUCAGAUUUGGGGAUAACCAUCCAUUUUGACUGCAUUUUCCAAGAGCUUCAAAUGGUGGGAUAUGGAUGGGCUGAGAUGUUGAGAAAAUACUUGGUUGAUCCAGUUGAGAUGUGGUGGCCUUCCAAUGUCACACAAGUUUCCUUGUUUAGGUGAACUCGCUCGUGUUGGUGGAGGGUAAUCUUCUUUUCAUUUUAACAAUAUAGAUAGAAUAUUGAGAUCUUGAAGAUUACUUAUGUGUUUUCUGUAAAACCUUUUACCAAAAUAUUGAAUCCAAACCAAUGUCUUGCUUUUGAGAAAAUCAUUCAUCAUAUUUAUAUAUCUAUCAAAUUUGAUUUAGAUUCUGCAUUCUGUUAUAUUACUAUGCAUCAAUAUUUGAUAUAACUCACAUGUUGCCGGAUUUUUUUAAUUCUCCAGCUCAUUAGUGUAAUUGAGUUUAUCAUCUUGGCGGAUCAAGUAGAUGGGAGUCGAUGAGCUAUGAGGACUACUACAAAAGAGAAGGCUGAAGCAGAGAACGUCGUUUCAAAUGUCUAGCAAGUUGCGCGCAUUUGUAAUAUUUUUUAAUUAAUCAUAUAGCUAACUAGAAUAUUUGUGUUUGUUUUCAUUAUAUUUGGAUGAUAAUGUAUGAAUAUUUCGGAUAUUAUAUAAUAUAUGUUAUCGAUGGCAA